rnacentral:lncRNA from 1 species
UUUUUUUUUGUUCCGCAAAAGGCACGAAUUUCUUCUUAUGGAGGCGCGGAUUGACUUCCGCGAGAGGCACGGCCCUGCCUCUCGGAAAGGAACAAAUGUGUUUUAUUUUUCAUUCCGUGAGAGACACGGAUUUACUACUGGUGGAGGCACGGAUUUGCUUCCACGAGAUGCACGGGCAUGCCUUUCGAAAAUGGAAAAACUGUUUUUUUCCACAAGAGGCACGACUGUGCCGCUUGAAAAGGGAAAAACGCGUAUCUAACUAGGUUUUGGCCAUUUCUAACUGAUCCCUUAAACUUAGGGGAGUAAAAAAAUAAAUCAUUUGCAUCACAUAUUCGGCCACCGAAACACAUUUCCUUACCUUUUUAUUUCAUUCAACGACAUUGGAGUACAUAAUUCACCAAUUCUUGGCCACGAGAGUAAGACCAAAGAAGACAAGAACCAAAAUUAGACAUUUUAGAAGACAUUCAAUUUCCCUAACUGCUCUCACUAGUUGGAUUAAUAUCUUCUCUAUAUCUUCCCUGUUAAUCUGCGGAUUCUUAAACUUCAACACUUCUUUCUUCUUCUAUUCUAAAGUAGUAGACGUUCCUUCGCCAUCUAGUCUCAUCUCUAGCCUCAAUUCUAGCAGCGAGUGGACGAACAUCUAUCAAUUUUCAUGCUAUCAAUAGAUCGAUGUAUUUUUCUUUCCAAUAUCAAAACCUGCAUUCAUCCUACAAACAUAGAUGAGCAAACAAUGAGUUACCGAAAUUGCGUCGAAUCCGGUGAACAACCGAAUCAAAACGAGCACAUACCCCAUCAUUUGUGCACUUGAAGAACACCCAUUCCAGGUGUUGCGGCGUCGUAGAAACUCGGUGCACCACCUUCCGCAUGCAGUCGUCGCACUGUAUGACUGACAUUGGUGAGCCAGCCGUCUCUGCUUCCUGGCCAAUCCAUGGCAAGGCGCAGCCGUCGGCGGCCAGAAUCGCCAAAUCCGGCAGCGACGACAGCAACCGCAGAUCCACCACUUUUUCGCCGGCCACGGGACGAGGCGGCGCAAAUCCAAGCGGUAGGGGACAGCGGCGGAGCCUACUGAGCAUCCCUGGCGACGGGCAGGUGCCGGCGGGGGGUGGGAGGGGUGGCGUUGGCGUAGAUGCGGAGUGGGAGGGGAACGGUUAUUACUCAGUCGCCACGCGGUGGAGUAAAUAUAGGAANNNNNNNNNNNNNNNNNNNNNNNNNNNNNNNNNNNNNNNNNNNNNNNNNNNNNNNNNNNNNNNNNNNNNNNNNNNNNNNNNNNNNNNNNNNNNNNNNNNNNNNNNNNNNNNNNNNNNNNNNNNNNNNNNNNNNNNNNNNNNNNNNNNNNNNNNNNNNNNNNNNNNNNNNNNNNNNNNNNNNNNNNNNNNNNNNNNNNNNNNNNNNNNNNNNNNNNNNNNNNNNNNNNNNNNNNNNNNNNNNNNNNNNNNNNNNNNNNNNNNNNNNNNNNNNNNNNNNNNNNNNNNNNNNNNNNNNNNNNNNNNNNNNNNNNNNNNNNNNNNNNNNNNNNNNNNNNNNNNNNNNNNNNNNNNNNNNNNNNNNNUAAAUAUAGGAAGAUUUUUAAAGAGAGAAGUAAAAUUUUACUCUUUUACGGCCCAUAAGGUAUCGGCUAGGUCCGGGUUAGAGGAGUAAAAUCGCUUUUUUAUUUCUCUAACCGUUUAUAAGAGAUCGGUUAGAAAUGCCGGUACCGGUUCCAUUGGCAUUGGGUCUCUGCCUCUUCCCCGGUCCAAAGGAAAAUGGUGCUGACAAUUUGGCCUUGUAUUCAUACGCAUCCACAGCAUGCAUUCGUUCUAGCUAGUAUAUAUAUAUCACCGGGAUAUUGACUUAACUGCCAAAAGCUCACAAACACGGUUCCAGAAUCUAGCUGAAGAACAGUCUGUUUUUAGUGUUCCAGCGCAACGAAUUAAACGUGAUCAAGCGAGGAGAGAUCGGCUUUUUAUCUCCCCGCGCGUGUGACAUGUGAACCGUAUCUCAGUGUUCAAAGCAAAAGUGAGCGUUGUUCCUUGUAAACUUUAGCACAACGCCGAAAAUCAUAUGUUUUUACUAAAGAAUAUUGCCACUUCCGUAGAUUCGUUUGGAAGAGAAAUUUGCCCAACAGGGAUCCUAAGGGCACGAUCGCCGCUCCCCGGGAGUAAGCCGCUCCGGCGGCGCAUCUUUUCCGAGCGGCAGCUGCGCUAUGCGGGAGGGGCCAUUGUGCAACGGCACGGCGGUGCCAUUGAUGAUAGGGGGAGAAGACGAGCCAAGGGGAGAGACCUAUGUGGAUUCAGGACGACCUAGGAGAUGAAUGCAUUUGAAUGCAGAAUGACCGUUCUAAAGAAUGCCGGUCGCCCGCGUCCCCCGCCGAGUAGCUGCCUGUUCGGCUACCAAGACGUUCGUUCCCAGGACGACCAGUCUGGGCAACGGUUGUGCCUCUCAAUGAUGAAAAAUAUGUGUUUUUUUUUCCAUGAGAAGCACGGAUUUACUUUUCGUGGAGGUACAUAUUUUGCUUCCGCGAGAGGCAUGCCUCUCAGAAAGGGAAAAAUACGUUUUUCUUUUUCGUUCCGCGAGAGGCACGGAUUUACUCUGGUGGAGGCAUGGAUUUGCUUCCGCGAGAGGCAUGGUCGUACCUCUCGGAAAGGAAAAAACGUGUUUUUCUUUUUUGUUCCGCAAGAGGCACGGUUUACUUCUCGUGGAGGCAUGGAUUUGCUUCCGCGAGAGGCACGGUCGUACCUCACGGAAAGGAAAAAACGUGCUUUUCUUUUUCGUUUCGCGAGAGGCACGGAUUUACUUCUGGUGGAGGCAUGGAUUUGCUUCCGCGAGAGGCAUGGUCGUACCUCUCCGAAAUGGAAAAAAAUGCGUGCCUCUUCGAAAAGGAAAAAAAAUGUGAGCGGCCAACGCAGCAAUGACGCCCGAGCAGACAACAUAGCACCAACGCCCGAGCAGCCAACGCAGCACCGUGCGUGAGACGGACAUACGGCGGCGGAGGAGCAACGGACGGGUAGACACGCGGACGACGGCAAUGAAGGACCGCCGCAUUGCGCGAGGCCGCCGGGUCGAAGAAGAGGCCGGGUGGUCGCGUCGGUAUCGCAGUAGAGGCGCGCAGGGUCAAUGGUGUUGGUGGGCGGCGCAAACCGAUUUUAGAUCGAAAAACCCAAAACAAAACGCCGAUCAAGACGAACGGUGAGAGAGAAACCCCGGAUCAAAUGAUCGGGGAAAAAAGAGUCUAUAGGGCAGCCGGUCAACACGACCGGCGGACGUACCCUAGGUAUGGACAGUGUGGCCCCCACUGACGGUCAUGGAGACCGACCGCCCCAGAGGCGGCAUGGAGUGGAAGCGGCGGCGGCGGCGGCUAGGGCUUGGAUCUGUUUGGCUGAUACCAUGUAAGAAAAGAAUAGAUAGGGAGAUUGCCGUAAUGCGGUGGAUGUUGUAUUGUGCCUCACGGGCGAGUUUAUAUAGGAGUACAAACAUGGAGGGCAGGAAGUCUCUCCUAGAGAUAAGGUAGAAGACGAAUUACAAAUUCUAAAUUACCAAAUAUAUGUAAACCCAUAUCUCUAAGAGAGUGGAGUGGAAGAGUGUCAUGGAAGAUACCAAUAGCGAUUAGAAAUUUCGGUUAGUAUAGUCUUAUUUUUUUGUGAACCUGGCAUCGAACAUUGUUUAUGUAAGUUUUAUGUAUUUAUUUGAACCUAAUUUGUGUUUGUGUGUACUGAAUUUGUGUUUGUGCUGCUCAAUGUUUUUUACUCCACUAAAUCUUGGAGAUCAACUAGAAAUGAUAAUUUUUUAGAGAUGCAAAGGUGCUCAUCUAAAGAAUACUCGGUCGUUGACUCUUAUAAAAUUUAGGGGGUCGGCUAGAGUUGUCCUUAUGGCGACCACAUUUCCAUCAUUUCAAUCUUGAGAGCAUCUACAGCCUGCUUUCUCAAAUCCUCCUCAACACAUGAAUGCGCUCAAUUAGUGACCAGAUAGGAGAAAGAAAGAAAAAUUGAUCCAACCGAACCCUGCAUACCAUCCUUAUACGUCCAUGAUUUGUUCUGUAUACAUAGGUGGUGGUGUGCUCCCACAUCGAUUGAACUGGCGCCGAUCAGGAUUUGUUGGCAAACUUAUGAAGCAGCUUUCGCGUAUCUUCUUGGCUUGUGACUUUGAUGGUUCCAAAAAAGAGGUGAAGGAUUGUAUUAGCACAAAGUUCAGUGAUGUCAAGGGGAUCCAUGAUGCGAAAGCCGAGCUCGAGGAUAUAGUACUGUGCCUACGGGACCCAAAGCGUCUCGGCGAUUCUGCAUACACCACGCAGUCGACGAUGCAGGGGAGCACCAGACGGAGCGCCACGGCACCCGCUGGCGCCGCCGUAGCUGGAUUACAUGCAAACACUGCAUACUUGUUUCACUCCAAUAUCUCAUACAAGCUGUAUGUAUGUACAUUGCUAAUUAAUAAUCCACCGAUGCAGGGAUUUUUUUUUCAGACGAGUAAUAAUCAAGUCUAGCUACUAGUCUAGGACUACAUGCUUCAAUCUAAAGCUAUGCUAUAUAGCUAGAUGACUAUUACACCCGAUAUUUGUUACUGGUGGAGGAAGGAAGACGCCUUAUGAUGGAUGGACUACAUAUAUAUACCAGCGAAAUGCCUAGAUCAUCCCAAAGCCAUGCAUGUAGUCACGAGUGUAUGACUGCAUACCUGCAUGCAAUUCGUUCAUGGUAUCCAUUGUUUCUCUUUCUUUUCACAUGAAGAAUGCUUGCAUGCACCACAUGCAUGUGUGACCCUUUCAGCUAAAGGGAGAUUGUUAGGAAUAAUCUUGUUAGCUGGUUGUGGGCACGGUGCUAGCCGCGUCGUGGAUCAGUGCAUGCAUAGUUGGUUAGUCCGUACAUGCAUCAGAUAGAUAAGCUAGUAGCGCGCGCACAACCAGCUAACAAAAUUAUUCCUAACACACAUCAGACUAUUACAGCUUUGUUUCUGUUUUUGAAUGAAUUGUGUCUGGUUUUGAGAUUUUAAGGACCAAAUGUCUCAAAAAUGUCUGGUUUUGGUGAACUUGAGGGACCAAAAACAUACUCCCUCCGAUCCAUAAUAAGGCUGUGUUGGGUUGGACUUUUGGAGCCAGCUUUUGGCUUUUCAAAGCUAUAAGCUAACCAAAGGGAGAAACGUGAGAAGCUGAAGUUGCAAAAGCUACAGAUUCCCAUAGUGUAAUUUUCGAAGCAGGUGAACCCCCAACUUCAGCAAUGCAUUUUUAGCUGUCCCUUGGACGUUGCGUGGUAUUUACCCACCUUUGCCACUGGCAAGUCAAAAAACGGUUCGUUCUAUUCCCCCCGAGCAAUGGUCAGCCACGAGAGAUCUCAUCCUCGCAGAAAAAAACCGCUCGAUCCCCUUGGACCUGAGCGACAGCUAGGGUUCCUAGCUAGCGCCGCCGCCGCCGGCGCCCCUCCACUGCCGCCGGCGCCGUCCCCCGCGUCCGCCGCCACGUUGCUACCUCCUCUCUCCUCUACUACCCAGCGGAUCUCCUCCUUCCUCAAGUACUUGCAUGGACCAUCGGACCAGCAAGGGCCGCUGCUCCUCCACCAGCGCGCCCCCCGCCGCCGGCGCUGCCUCCGGCUGCCCCGCCGCAACCUCUUCCCUCCAUUCAGUAGCUGCUCCCCUUUCCUCCCGCCUUUUUUCUCUGUUGGUAUUGAUCGAAUUCAUGUGAAGUGAUGAACAGUGGUUGUUUUUUGAUAUAUUGAUACAUAUUGCUUGUCAAAUUGUUGUAUAUUGAUGGAAAGUGGACUGCAUAUUGUCCUAUGUUGUUGUACAAUGACUGGGUUAUUGAUGAAUACUUGGUGCAUUGAUGUACAUUGGAUGGUUUGCUUGCUGCGGAUUGCUGCCUAAUUGCUUGUUGGACCAUAUAUAUAUUGAUAACAUGAGCAAUAUUCGUAGUAGGAUCAUUGCAUUAUGGUCAAUUUGCAUGUAAACAUAUUCACUCAGGCUCAGGGGCAUUACAGACAAUUCACGGCCAAAUCUACAGUUUCACAGUUGUUUGAACCAAACAGCCUCCAGUUUUUCCACAGCUGCUUUUUCACAGCAGCUUCUCCAUAGCUGCUUUUCCACAGCAGCUUUUCCAGAAUCUGCAGCUCAACCAAACACAGCCUAAGUGUCACAGUUUUGAACUAAGUUUAAACUAAACUUUGUUCAAAAUUAUGACAUUUAUUUUGGAUCGGAGCGAGUACUUUUCUCUAAUACAAAACGUUGUGUCCAUGGAGUAUUGCUUUAUGGCUUAUAUAAAGUGAUGUAAAUCAAACUCAUGUUCUGCACGGUGAGAAUCAAAAAUCCACAUCAACAAGAGUACGAAAUCAAUUUAAACUGCAAAUUCAUGAGGCAUCCAAUGCAUGAGCAUGCUACAUAAGCACAGCUCAGAGUCAACAGCCGCAUAGAUUCUUGGUGUGAGUCUCAAACUUAGGCCAAAUAAAAAAGCACAUAGGUGUGAGUCUCAAGACAAAGCAAAUUGAAGGAGAGGCCAGCCCUUUCUUCCUUUCACAGAGAGAAAAAACUCCACUGAUAAAAUAAACAGAACAAAGUACUACUUCAAUUUGUGAACAACAAUAUGCAUCUUAAAAAUUCAGUUUGCAGUUCUUCAUUGGCAGUUGGGCUGAUCUGUCCACAAUAAUUUCUCUUUGGUCCAAGCAUGCAAUAGAACAAGUUACAUGGGUAUAUAUAUCGACAGUUUAGAUGUGUUAUGGCACGUCGUAAAAGCUUGCUCACAUUUUUAUUGGCAAUAACCCGUAUAUGGUCUUUACGGAAUCUUUGCAAUUUGAUUAGCUGUAUCAUGACCCCUAGGUCAUGUUUUUGCAGGCCUAUUUUUACGCAGCACAUGCAUACUUUCUCUAGAUCUGCAAAAAGUUGUACACUAGCUAGCCAAAUACUAGUUUACUCUGCAUGCUCGUCUUCCAACUUUCGUUUCUUUUAACUCUGAGAGUCAUCGAACGGAGUAAUAACAGUGGCAGACAGUUGCAUUGGACAGGGUUAAUUAACUAAUUACACACCGUGGGCUGCUGUCAGGUUGCUGGUCCAUCUUGUUUAACUCUGCAUCUACAUCGCUAGUUGAUCCAUCCACAUGCCCACCACAUGAAAGGAUCAUAGAAUACGAUAAUACAAACCGGUGUCCGGGAUCAUUUGCACCUGGUGAACAGUAAAAAAUACUAGCUAGCAGAAAAAUUCAAAAAAUUCUGAUUUACUUGGCGCGCAAGAUGCUUAAAUGCGCGAUGUCCGUGUAAAAUCUGAAAUUCAUAACGCUGUGACCAAGUAAGAUGAUACAAAACGCUGUGUCCAUGGAGUACUACUUCAUGGCUUAUAUAAACUGAUGUGGUAUAAAAGUAACCCGACUCAUGUUUUGCACAGUCAUAUCCAUGAAACCAAAAUACACAUCAACAAGAGUUCGAAAUCAACUUAAACUACAAAUUCAUGUGGCAUUCAAUGCAUGGACAUGCUACAUAAGCACCGCUCAGAGUCAAGACAGAAUAUUCCACAUAGAUUCUUGGUAGCAUCGUGAAGAAGGAAAGCAAAGAAUAGCUAUUGCAUCUCAAACUUAGGUCAAAUAUAAAAAGCACACAGGAAAGCCUCCUCCUCGCUCUAACCGAGCCAGAUGUUUACAAGAUAAAGUACUCCUCUGUAUUUCUUUACGUACACGUAAAAGGACAGAACGACGUUUCUUUUUGGAACAAGGUGUGUGUCUCAAGAGAGAGCAAAUUGAAGGGGAGCCCUGCCCUUCCUUUCUUUCUUUCAUAUAGAGAAAAGAUUCCCGAUAAAAUAAACAGAACAAAAUACUUGAAUUUCUGAACAACAAUAUGCAUUUAAAAAUGCAAUUUGCGGUUCUUCAUUGGCAGUUGGGCUAAUCUCUCCACAAUAAUUUCUCUUUCAUUCAGGGUCUAAGAAUGCAAUAGAACAAGUUAUGUGGGUACAUUAAUCGACAAUUUAGCUGUGUCGUGGUCAUAGUUACGAACAUGUUAUAGCACGUCGUAAAAGCUUGCUCACAUGUUCAUUGGCUAUAACCCAUAUAUGGUCUUUGGGGAAUCUUGUCAAUUUGAUUAGCUGUAUCAUGACCUGGCACAUGCAAACUUUUUCUAGAUCUGCCCAAAAUUGUACACUAGCUAGCCAAGUAGUUUACUCUGCAUGCUCGUCUUCCAACUAUCCCUUUUUAAACUCGAGGAGGGUCUUCGACACUCCUCGUCGUUCGUUAUCAAUAUUAUCUCAUGGCGGGGCAAAGGCGGUUUGUCAGAUUCAACAUAUUUUUGCUUGCAUUAUUUGAUCAUGGCUGCACGCUCAAGUAUAGUAGCAUACUACAUUGAUCUGCUGAGGUUUUUGUAGCUUCGUAUGUAUAUAUAGGAAACAAUACUAAGCAUCUGGUGAAUGCUACCCGUGUUUCUUGUAUAGAUACCAAGGACUAGGUCGCAGGCCUAGAAGGCAAGGUAGCAACAAAAUUUUCUCGUUUAGAAACCGAGAAGGAUACCAAGGAGAAGGUAACAAAUACUUGGCUCUCACACUUUCUGUUGUGCUGUGGAUACAUACAUACUAGCAACAUUACAGAGAUCAUUAGUUUUACAUCUACAAAGGGCAUCUUACUUUACCUCCAUCCAUGUGCAUGCAUCUCGCAUCUCGUCAAAUGUAAUCUAGACUUGAACGUUAUUAGAAGACAGCUGCGUUGGACGGAGCUAACUAUAACUAAAUAAAGUACAUAACGUGGGGGUGUCAGGUUUGGUCAUUAGUUUAUUUUUCAUGGGAACUCCAGAUGAAAUUUUGAACAAGCGGCGCGGGAGCUAAGAAGUACAUAUAUAAACCUGAAAUUAUUUAGAUCAAUUUCCAUCUAUGCAUAUUGGUAGUACCCAAAUGCUAAGACCCUGUGACCCAAGCUAGGGAGAUGAAUGAAUAUGGAAGUUUGAGAAAUGAAGCAUCAUUUAACUUGUUGGAAAUCAAAUGGAGCAUUAUAUUUACCGAGCGUGAAGCAGCACCACAGUACAUACAGUGCAUGGGUCUGGAGAUAGGCGAGGCUGCAUAGGUGAUCCAGAUCGCCGCGCAGUCCGACAUCCGCACGCUCGUCCGUUGAGCCGCGCUAUGCAAACUCCUCCAUCGUGACAUCCUUGGCUGACACGCCCUUCAUCCGUUGUGUCACCCGACAAGACGGCAUCGCGGCCCCAUGCCCCCAUGCAGCUAGCCUCGCCUACCUCCAGACCCAUGAUGUCCGCUCAAUCACCACCGGCGUGCACGCCAUGGCGUCCGUGUUUGUCGAGGAAUUUUAUCAAUCCGAUCGAUGCGGUGACUUGUUGGACAAACCAAUCUCAUUAGUUAAAUUACGUACUCCCUCCGUCCCAAAAUAAGUGUCUCAACUCCGUAUUAAUUUUAACAUGUGCACACGUUAACGUUGGCCCAUCCACUCACUAGUGCAAUACUUAGAGUACAUCUAGAUGUGCUUUAGCAAAGCUGAAAAGUCUUCUUCACAGCCUAUUUGCACUUCUAUUCAUUCAUCCCUCGUAUCCUGCUCUCAGCACCAAAGCAGACAUAGCCGCCGAUAGGUCGCCACCGCUGCCCUCCUCGUCCCCGUCCAACGCCAUCCGGCACUCUGCUCUCCGCCACAUAGCACCUUCCCACUCCUUCCCCGCCUCAGCCCGCACCCUUCCUGUUGCCACCUACGGAUCGAGCAACUUGCCUGGCAGCAGCGCUGGAGGGUGAUAAGAAACUGCCGGGAGGAAGAAGACCCAUCCUUCCCUCAAGGUACAGGUACAGCCGUACAGGACUGAUCCUUAUCUCUUAGAAGCGAGAACAAGCUUGGAGUGGAUCUGACCAACCAUGCUGUGUUUGAUCUCCCUUUUUCUGUUCACUAAAGCUUGCAUAUCAUCUCUCUAGUGCGCUCCACUGCUUGGAAGGUCCCCAAGGAGGAAAGUCGCCUAGUCGCCGCGCGCGUCGACCCAUAGCCGCCGUGACCGCUUCGUCGACUAGGGUGAGCUCAUAUUGUUUUCUCAUUCUCGACUGAUUUAAUUCAUCAUCGCCUGCUAAUAUAUGUGUGAAAGACUAGUAUAGUAACCACUCUAUGUAAAAGUCAGGCUGUCUUUCACACAUAUAUUAUUUGCACAGGUAGCCUUUUUAUUUUGCGGAAAUUUGCACUACUAGAUAGUAGCACUCUCUACAUAUAUUUUGCGGAGUAUAUUGUUUGCACUAGUAGCUAACAACUCUAUUAAUUCCCUCCAGCUGCUAAUUAGCAUACUCACCUGCCGGUUAUCAGCCACAACCAAUCCACGACUCACCGGCCGGUUAAUCAUGGAGGCGACGUCGCUGAGCGUUGGAAGGUCCGUGCUAAAUGGAGCGCUUAGCUACGCCAAAUCAGCGGUGGCGGAGGAGUUGGCUCUGCAGCUAGGCGUGGGGCGCGACCAGGCCUUCAUCACCGGGGAGCUGGAGAUGAUGCAAUCUUUCCUCGUGAUGGCGCACGACGAGGGAGACGACAAUAACCAGGUGGUGAAGACCUGGGUGAAUCAGGUCCGCGACGUGGCCUACAUCGUCGAGGACUGUCUCCAGGAUUUCGCCAUUCGUGUUGACAGGCAACCAUGGUGGCGCACCCUGAUACACCGGCACAAUGUGGCAAAUCAGAUGAAAGAGCUCAGGGCCCAAGUGGACGAUGUCAGCCAGAGGAACAUACGCUACCAGCUCAUCAAGGGCCCCUCAGAUGCUGCUUCUUCUUCCUCCUCCAAGCAGCCAGCAGCUGACAAAUCAUCAACGGCGUUAGUGUUUGGCAUCCAUGGUGCCGCGGAGCAGCACAAUCAAUCAAACAUGGAUCUUUCCGAGCUCCUCAUGGCCAGCUGCAAGGAUGAAAACUGUGUCCUUGCGCUUGGGGUGAUUGCCGUGUGGGGAACAAGUGCUGAUCUCGGGCAGACAUCCAUCAUCAGUGAAGUCUACGAGAAUCAAGAUGUCACAACCAAAUUUCCAUGCAGAGCUUGGGUUAGGCUGACACAUCCUUUUGAUCCAAAGGACUUCAUCCAAAGCUUAGUGGAGCAGUUUCAUCAUAGCACAUCAGUUGCUGCUAUGUUGGAAAUGGACCAGAAGGCGCCGCAACAACUAGCUCAGGAGUUUGAUGGGUAUGUGAACAAGAAGAGGUAUCUGAUAGUAAUCAAUGACCUAUCCACCAUUGAGGAGUGGCAUCGGGUCAAAAGGUGCUUCCCAGACAACAACAUGGGGUGCAGAAUCAUAGUGUCCACGCAACAAGCUGAAGUUGCGACCUUAUGUGCAGGGCAAGGAUACAACAUAUCAAAGCUCAAGCAAUUGUCAGCUCACCAGAAUAUCUAUGCUUUCCACAACAUGGUAAUAUUAUUCAACUAAACCUCUCCUCCUAUAUAUGUACAUCCAUCAUUGCUAUUUCGAUAUGUUAUUCAUAUAUAGCUAGCAUCUUAUUAUCAGUACCAGUCAUAUUAAUUAUUAGAGUAAAUUACCCUUUCUUUUUUACCACCUUGUUUUAUGUUUGUGACCGUUUUUAUCCCAUUUAACAGAUUUUAGCGAAACGUGUGCCACAAAUUACACACAUUUUCACAUUUUCCUGCUGACUGUACCUGCCAUAUCGACGAUUUAGUUUGCUUUCGGUGUUCCAUCUGUUUAUUACAGAAUCAAUCCAAACUGCCAUUAGCCUGAUCGAGCUCACUCACUCUACCGGGAAGACCGCACCCUCCCACCCAUAGUUAAAAAAACGAAACGGCAACCAAACCAGUGAGGCUGUCGGUCCGUGGUUUUACUGGUCAGAUGGCUGGUUCAUCAGUUCAUUUGUGACAAAGAAAACAAAAUCUUUAAGGUAAUUUUUCAAACAUUUGACCUCGCAUCAAAUGCACGCACAUAAUAAUUGAUGUAAAUCAUUAAUAAAUCACAAAUUGUUAUUAGCCUAAUUGAUUAUUGGGCCUUUAGCAUACAUUGUCUAAAGGUCAGGUGUUAGAUUCCUUGUCGAGGGGCUGGCAGGAUCCAGAGGUUGGUAGUGACAUCUUAUAUUUGCCGGAGCUAGCACCUAGGUGCCCCUCCCUCACUCGCCGACUGCGAGAGCCACCACGUGUAGCGGCAAGAAGAGGACAAGGUGCGGUCUUCCCCGACGUGGUCCGGCUCGGCCAGGUGCGCCACGACCAUGUUCGGCUGGGUCCGGUUCGGUUCAAAAAAUCAAACAAAUAAAUAAUAAACUAAAUUGAACCAUUGAAGUGACAUGCAAAGUCAACAAAGAAACAGAAAAGGAGGUAAUUUGUGGCACAAGCUUCGCUAAAUUGAGUAAAAAUGUGAAAAAUCUGCUAAAUGGGUAAAUAAUACUGUCACAAACGUGAUAUGAUAUUGGGGGUAGAAAAUAGAAUUCACUCCAAUUAUUUAAGUACUUAACAAGAUAUUUAACGGGUUUCUGAAAAAUAUAUCGUAUGAAAGUAGUAAUUCAUCUUUAUACACCUAAUCAAUAGCUAGACAAAAACAAUAUUACUACUGCUUUUUUGGCCCGUUAUGUGCAUGUGGUAAAUAAAGUCCUUUUUUUACACCUUGAUUAUUUGACUUGGAUGAAGUUGUUUCAUCGGAUAAAGCAUGGGAGUAUGUUGCCUUAAUUUCUGAACAUUAUAAAUUUGUUUUAGUAAAAAAAAAUAGACUUGCCAGAUGUUCCUCUACUUCCACUGCAUGGGCUCAGAAAGGUUGGGAUUAUCUACUAUGUGAACAUUUAAUUAUAGAACUAUUUUUAGUGAGUGGCUAAACCAUUGUCUUCAGCAAAGUGGCUGAAUGGUGCUCCCUUGUGCAGCGCUCAGAACAUGAAACAUCAGAUUUAACUGGGACAAGUUCAUGCUCAAAAGGAGACACUAUCAAUAGUACUGACAACUCAGCAGUGCCUAAUGGUGAGAUAACUGAGGAUUUAUCUGCAGACGGUGUUGAUGGAAAGAGCCUCACUUGGAACAGCAUAAUGGAAUCUCGUAUUGUGGGGCGAGCUCAAGAGAAAGAAGAUAUUAUUAUUAAACUAAUACCUCAAGAAGCCACUAAGAAGUUUCAGGUGAUCUCCAUUUGGGGAAUGGGUGGCCUUGGGAAAACCACUCUAGUGGAAGAUGUGUAUCAAAGCAAAGAACUCAGUGACAAGUUUGACAAGCGCGCUUGUGCCACAAUUUUGCGUCCUUUCAGUCUUGUAGAGCUCCUUAGAAGCUUAUUUGUGCAACUUGACACGGAAACUUCUGAGAAGAAGGCUGCCGUGGGUUUACCUGCAGGCCAAAGGAAGAAAUUACCAUCAUCAAUGACAAUUGCUGAGUUGGUCAAGGAGUUAGCAAUACUGGUAGAAAAAAAGAGAUGCCUUAUUGUUCUUGAUGAUGUAUCAUCUACUGCAGAAUGGGAUCAGCUAAUACAACUAGAUAGUUUCCUUAUGAUGGAAAAUACAAGCCGAAUCAUAGUCACCACAAGGGAGAAGAGUAUUGCUUUACAUUGUUCAGAGAAGAGACAAGAAAAUGUGUACAAGCUCAAUGAUCUAGGGUACAAGUAUGCACGUGAGCUAUUCAUUAAAAAGGUAGUUGCUAUAUACUUUCGUGCAAUUGUUCAUAUUCGAAGUAAAUUCAUGCCUCCUGUAAUAUCAUGUGAAACCUUAUACACAUGCCUUCAUUUGUUUAGUCCAAUAUGCAUAUCAAACAAAAUUUGAACAACAUAGUAAACAAAAUAAGAAAAGGCAAGUCUGUCCAGCCGUGUACAUAUGCCACUGCAUGCAUGUGCGCCUGGAUCAGAAACACACCAUGUACUGGUUAUUUUAGAAACAAUCCAAGGUUGUGGUGUUCGAAUUGUAUGUCGUUUAGUUGUUAGAGUACUAAUAUAUGUAGAGCUAUGUAUUGUACAAAUUUCAGGUAUUUAAAAAGAUUGUAGAUUUGGACAAGCAAUAUCCACAGCUAGUUGAACCAACCGAACUGAUUCUGAAGAAGUGUGGCCAACUACCCCUUGCAAUAGUCACCAUAGGUGGCUUCUUGGCAGACCAGCCAAAAACUUUCAUUGAGUGGAGGAAAUUUUAUGAUCACAUCAGUGCUGAGAUGGAAAUGAAUCCAGAGCUUACAACCAUAAGAACCGUCCUUAUGAAAAGCUAUGAUGGUCUACCCUACCACCUCAAGUCUUGUUUCUUGUAUACAUCCAUCUUUUCUGAAGACCGUAAGCUUGACCGGAGACGCUUGGUGCUUCGGUGGACUGCAGAGGGGUACUCAAGGGAGGUGCGUGAUAAGUCAGCGGAGGAAGUGUCAGAUGGCUACUUCAUGGAACUUAUAGGCAGGAGCAUGAUACUGCCAUCUCAAAAAUCAUUUCAUAGUAUAAAAGGAAUUGAUUCCUGCCAAGUCCAUGACCUCAUUCGUGAAAUAAGCAUCUCAAAAUCUACGGAAGAAAACCUUGUUUUGAGACUAGAGAAAGGUUGUAAGCUGAAUAGCCAGCAGGGCAAUGCACGCCAUCUUGCUAUAAAUGGCAAUUGGGAAGGAGAGCAGAGUGAUUUUGAGAGGAUGGUGGACAUGCCCCGUGUACGGUCAGUAACAGUUUUUGGGAAGUGGAGGCCAUUCUUCAUGUCGGUGAAGAUGAGGAUGCUACGAGUUCUGGACUUGGAAGACACGACAGGUCUUGUCGAUCAUCAUUUGAAGCAUAUUGGGAAGCUUCUUCACCUAAUAUACUUAUCUCUGAGAGGAUGUGAAGAUAUUUAUCACCUGCCAGAUUCAAUUGGUAACCUGAUGCAACUGCAAACACUUGAUAUCAGAGGUACCUCCAUAGUGAUACUGCCGAGAAGCAUCGUCAAGCUUCGGAAGCUGCAAUAUCUUCGUUCCAGCAACCAGCUUACAUGGUGUCUUGGACCGAUAAGCAACUCUGAUUCACAUCCUUAUUUGAAGACAUGCGUGGGUUUUUGUAUUGGAUGUUGCAUACCUCGGGAAGUAAUACAAACAGAUGGCUGCAACAGGCGUGAUGUAUGCACCUUCACAUGGUGCGCGGCAAUCCCUUUUCUGGUGGGAGGGCAUGGCAAUGAUGUUGGCGUGAGGGUGCCAAGAGGGAUGAGGAGAAUGAAGGCCCUGCAUACAUUACAGGGUGUGGACCUGGUCGCGUCCGGAGGCAUUGCUUUUCUGCGGAACAUCAAAGGAGGACUCAUGGGCCUGCGUAAGCUAGGAGUGGUCCGCCUACAAGAGAAGCAUGCUUCAGAGUUUUGUGCUGUCGUUUCCAGUCUCAACCUCCUAGAGUCAUUGUCAGUGACUUCAGAGCGUGGACACGAUUUGCUUCUGGGUGGCAUUUCCUCGCCUCCAACUAACCUUCGGAACCUCAAGCUGGUAGUUAGAAGGUACUCCAUGGAAAGCAUGGCCAAAUUGCCGAAAUGGGUCAAGAAGCUUGAGAACCUUGUAAAGUUGAGGAUCGAAUUCGCAACAUCUGGCCAAGAGGAGCAGGAUGCUGCUAUAGGAGCCCUGGGGAAUCUACCAAGCCUAGCAGUUCUGCGUCUGAAGGUGUUUGCUUUCAAUGGUGAAAAACUACAUUUUGGGGCGGAGGAAUUCCGGAGCAUCGUCGUGCUGGAGCUUGAAUUCACAGAGAACACAAGGUUGGUUGAGUUUGAGGAGGGAGCAAUGCCCAAACUCCAGCAGCUUCUCCUCCAUUGUCCGGAUAUCAGGACUGAGUUUCUUGGAGUGGACUCUCUCGGAAGCAUCAAGGAAGUAGGGAUCACCGAGCAUCUUAUCACCGAGGAGUUGCGGGCCCAGGUCGCAUUGAAUAGAAACAAGCCAAUCCUGAAUAAAUUAUAAGCUCUCUCUCUUCAUGGCAGGGCAGGCAUCUGUUGUAAACGUAUUUGUAUUAUUAUUUUUUCUGUAUCUUAAUUUGGUCGAUACAGUAUGGGUACAUGUAUAUUGUCAUGGGUAGGGUAAUACUAAUACAUGCAUCCUUUUUAUUCUGNNNNNNNNNNNNNNNNNNNNNNNNNNNNNNNNNNNNNNNNNNNNNNNNNNNNNNNNNNNNNNNNNNNNNNNNNNNNNNNNNNNNNNNNNNNNNNNNNNNNNNNNNNNNNNNNNNNNNNNNNNNNNNNNNNNNNNNNNNNNNNNNNNNNNNNNNNNNNNNNNNNNNNNNNNNNNNNNNNNNNNNNNNNNNNNNNNNNNNNNNNNNNNNNNNNNNNNNNNNNNNNNNNNNNNNNNNNNNNNNNNNNNNNNNNNNNNNNNNNNNNNNNNNNNNNNNNNNNNNNNNNNNNNNNNNNNNNNNNNNNNNNNNNNNNNNNNNNNNNNNNNNNNNNNNNNNNNNNNNNNNNNNNNNNNNNNNNNNNNNNNNNNNNNNNNNNNNNNNNNNNNNNNNNNNNNNNNNNNNNNNNNNNNNNNNNUAUGACGCCAGUUUGGGACACCUAGGUGCCUGGGCACCUCGCCUAGCAACCGUUGGAUGACUCUAAGAUGUGUGCAUGUAUAAUUAGUAUUAUUAUUAAUGGGUAAAUCUUAUUAGGUAAGAAUUAUUAGUUGCUAUAGACACUUAAUACCCGCCCAGAUUAUAUAGGAUAGAGAAAAUUAUUAAUAAAUGGUCAUGUUUUAAGUCUAUGCAUGCCUCAUCGUACGUGCACCUUUUUGCAUAUAAUGGAGGUCAUUUUUUUAUGCGUUAUGGUUAGCCUUUCUCUCUUUCUUAUAUAUGCUAUGCUUUAUCACCGAAUUUCUAAUAUCUUGAAUAAAUCACUAGGUAUAUAUGUACAUAGUCCAAAAUAUCUUAGGUAUGUUUUGUACUCGAAAUAUGUUGGGUAUAUAUUACAUACCCAUACGUCACGUAGCCGGAUAUAUAUGUAGCCAUAUUUUACUUUACAUACGUCGACUGGGUAUGUACAAUAUUUUUGAAGCUUUUUGCACACAAUUGAGUAUAUAAGUGUGCAAAUACAUUGGGUAUUUCCAGUUGAGGUAUAUACGUCGACCGAGUAUGUACAAUAUUUUCCUACUUUUAUUCAUAUAGCCAGUUAUAUACGUCGACCGGGUAUUACAAUAUUUUCGUCAGUAGGUAUUGAAUACCCGUAUUGGAUAGUUAGUAAACAAAAAUAAAAUACAAUGAGUAAACAAAAUAAAUUCUUGGGUAUAUACAUAACCGCGUAUGUACAUACUUUCGUUACUAAAUAUAAGAUACCCAUUUUAGACAUAGGAAACAAAUAAAUGUAAUAGUUGAAAAAACAAAUUAUUGAAUAUAUAUAUAUAUACCUGUGUAUGUAUAUAAUUUCGUUGGUAUGUAUUAGAUACCCAUAUUAGAUAGUUAGGAAACAAAAAUACGUGUAUUAGAUACCCGCAUCAAUUCAAACAAAGUCAAUAUUAAUAUGUUUUAUUGUAUGGCAAGUCUUGCAUGCCUAAUAAUUAGAAAAAAUAAAUAAAAUGUAAGUAGGGAAAGUCUUGCAUGAAGAAUAGUUAGGAAACAAAUUAAAUAUACCACGGUUGCCGUGCCCCAUCUAUUUUACGGUGUACAGAAGUAUGGGUACUUCUGUACCCCUUGCACACGGGCAGUCGCAGCCACACCUGCAGCGAGGCUUGACGGGGCAGAGGAAGAUGAAAUGCGAAGACCACCAGGACAGAUACUCGAGGAACAAGGAGCAGAAGGCGAGCUGGACCUGCCCCGGCAACACCCUUGCCGGGGCAGCCUACGCAGCACCAGCGAGCCCAUCACCCUUGGGGCUGAGGGUUCUGACAGCAUCGACAACGUUAAGACCAAAAUUUGGAAACGCAUGCGAGCAUGCAGAUCUUCAUAGAGAUUGACAACCUAUGGGUCCACGUGGAACCAGAAGACGAAGACCCCCGGCAAGACCCUUGCCGGGGACGACAAGGCCUGAUACAUCUGAUUGAUGAGUCCUGUGUUUGUUUACGUGUUUCUGCUACCACUUAUGUACUAAUGCUAAUUAUCUACUCCCUCUGUCCAGAAUUACUUGUCGAGGAAAUGGAAUGAUCAUCAUCAUACCGUCAUAAUACCAUGCUAAAAGCUUCAGCACAUGAAUAAAUUGCGAUUUCACAACAAUAUUCAAAUGACGGUUGGUGAUAUCCGUAAUCAGAGCAAGAUUUGAAUUCCGCAUGCGGGAAAAAACCCCGUCAUGUAUGUAAUUGUUGUAUUCCUGUUUCACAGCACCAACUGCCACAGCGAGUACACUAGUAGCAUAAACAAACAAACACAAGACAGCUUCCAGAAUUUCUUGGUCUAUUUUCUACCACGUAAAAACUAGAUCCACUAGACAAGAAAAAGUAUCUGUAUCUAAGAUUUUUUGGUCUGGAUGGUCAGGUCAUGUAUCCCUAGAUCCUCGUACAGUCCAUGCACGUAUUCGAGCACCGAUUGAUCAUCACUGCUAUUCUUCACCUGCACACACACCCAAUGCCCCACUUCAGUCAUUCGAGCACUAUCAGGUAUCAACAAGUCAAGUUUGCUGAAAUUAUCUUGUUACCCUGAUGGAGAGGCAACCCACGGCAUGACCAGGCACAAGCUCCCAAAACCGAGCCUGGGAUACCUCACAGACAUCCUCACAGGCAGUAAUCUGGAGAAUGAUACCUCAGCCGUGUCAAAGGUGGCGUUGCUAAACAAAUAGCUAUUCAAAAAAAGUAAGAUAAGAUGCUUACCUGUCUGCCGCACUUGAUGAAGGCUGAAGGUGGCACGUUGCCAGGCGCAAUCUGCAGCAGGACAUUGCCCGUGGCUUUGAACAGAGGCAUAACAAGCAUGAACACCGCCACCGAAACUAUUCCCAGGCACAACACCUCUGCGUUCUCAAUCCUAACAACAGAAGUGCAAACGCAAAGUGUUUAGCCAAAACCCAAACGCCAUCAUAAAAGAGCAGAGGAAAGCUGUCAAAGGAUUUACCCCAAUGAAAGAAACCAAGAAGCUAGUAUCAAGCCUGCACUGGAAGAGAGAGAUACCAGAUGUCAAUUAAAAUAGACGGGUACCAAAACAAAGAUGCAAAAUAAAUUGAAGGAGAGAUGCAUCAUGCCACUGUUUGUACCUCCGUACUGAAUCUGCCAGAACAUGUAAACAGAUGGAGUGAUGGUUCAUAUCCUCUGCUUUCCUGUACACUAACAACAACAGACAAUGAUAUGUCCAUUGAUCAGUCUAUUUUCAAAUUAUGAUACUUAGCAAGGAGAAGAUGUAUAUCCUGACAGAUCUGCCAGAGACAGACAGGAUACCAAUCACUUGCAUACCUAUGUUAACACGAGCAUAGCUCCGAAAGAACCAGACACCAAGUAAGUUGACCAAAAGGUUUGUGACUGCAGAAACAAUGAGGUAAUGCCUGAAACAUAUUUUUUAUAAGAGAAAGAAAAAAUAUUAGGACAGCAAACAGUUUAGAUUGAUAGGCCGUGAAUAAAGAAAUAAUGUGGUAGAUGCAAGGGGACAUAAAAGAACACAAAAUUCACAGUUUCUCAGGGAAAUAAUGCAAGAGGUCACAGAAGUUGGACAACGGAUCCCCAAUCUUUGUGUAUUGUUGACUAUAAACUGUAGGUGCAAUGCAAUGGUGUUUUUGAAGAACAUUGAUCAAUUCGAUACUUUCCCUUGAGAACACAAUUCAGUUACUCACAACGAUGGACUGGAUAAACCUAACACAUAGUAUCAUACUAGUAAGUAGUAACACAGUACAAAAUGAUGCAUUAGAGUGACUGGAUUUGCAUGAACAAGAUGACCAGUUUCAUCACAUGGGAACAUCAUUUUUUCCCUCCUAACCUGUAAACACAUUCGACAACCAACAUAGAAAAGAAUAUUCUGACAGAGCCAUCUGUCAGCAUACAUAAAUGGCGCUUACUUGUGCUCAGACUCAUCCUGCAUAAAUGAAUGCAGCGAUUCAACAGCCAAGGAGAAAGACAGGAACAGCAGGAACAGCUGUCUACAUAAACAACCAUAUGGAGGCGGUCAAAACGUUAGCACAAAAAAGGUUAGAAAGGCCAGAAAGUGUGCCACUUAGUGCAAAGAAAUUAAACAAAUAAUCCAAAGGCUCACUCAUAUAGUAUGUAAUGUAAAGGCAUCAACAGACUGUUCCAGUUUUGUGCGACAAGAAAUUCUAGCUGUUGUUGCUGGCUUACUUGCUACAUACAAAAUUCAUGUUUCCGCUGCCUUGCAAUUGAAGCAUAUGUUUUUUAUCAUAGCAUGGUGUUAAGGUGUUUGCAUAUGUGUUCUUGUUUCUAUUCGACAUCGGUAUUGCCGAGAAAACAGGGGAGGUAAAUUUAAGAUGACCAGGACAAGAGGAUAGUUGUGUUUGACAAACAUAUCACAACACAUGUGAUGUAAGUUGGACUUGGCAGCACUGCCACUUGGUUUUUGCUACUACUACAUGAUUUGUCUCCCUAAAUAGACUCUAUGCAAACAAGGAUGUUAAAGAGGCGGGUUGGGUCGCGACGCUUACGGCAUUGGUGAAGGCGGCGAGGACCUCCAAUCUCUUGUACCUGCAGGAUAGGAUAUGACAGGAUAGCAAAGUCAGGAGCACGAAUGGAUCCAAAUGAACUAAACUGAACUGAAAUUCACUGUAUCUGUAUCCACUAGGCAAAGGAGCAGGCAGUGCAGGCUGACCCGUAGGUGUAGGUGGAGUCGGGCUUGGUGCGGGCGGCGGCCAUGGCGAAGAGGGAGAAGGAGAGCAGGCCGCAGCCGAAGGUGAGGUGGAAGGCGUCCGAGACGAGGCCGACGCGCCCCGUGAGGAGGCCCACGGCGAGCUCCACGGCGGAGUAGGCGGUGUUGAGGGCGAGCAGGAGCGCCAGGCGGCGCAUCGGGCGGGUGGCGAGCCAGCGGUACCGGACGUCGGCCUUGGCUGGCUGGGUGAGGGGGAGGGGCACGGGCAUGGAGAUGGAGGAGUCGGAGCGGGCGAGGCCGGGGCCGGGGGGGCGCGGGGAGAAGGAGGAGAAGGAGGGCUGGCGGGAGUAGGCCAGGCGGCGGUCGCCGCUGCCCACCACGCCGUAGUUGGGGUUCCAUGCCCGAGGAGGAUCCGCCAUCGCCAUCGCCGGCGCCGGAGCUGGAGAGGAUGGGGAGUAGUAGAUCCGGCUUUGGGUUUGGGUUUGGGUUUGAUGGGCUUUCUACUUCGUUCGUGGGCCCAACCAGUCAACACCAAAGGUUGACUUGUCAUUAUUUGUUGAUGAAAAACAAAAUCAUAUUAUAACAUGGUUAAGAAGGAAAAUCAUAGGCAAUUUUUUUUUCAGACACAGGGAGGGGACCGGAAGGUUCCUAAAACAAGCAUACCGGAAGAGAGGGAACUGCCGUCAAGAAAGAGAUUACGAGUAAGGUGGAGAGAAGAAAUGUCGUGGAGAAGACAAGUAAAGAGAGGUAAAACAACGCGACGUUGAAGGAUAUAUUAUAGCAUUAAAGAGGACACCUUCCAUCAUAACCUUUCUCUGCUUUUCUCCAUCAGUAUCUCUGCUCUUGUCUUCUCCACCGCAUUGAAGGAUGUACUAUAGCAUAGAAGAGGCCACCUUCUACCACACCACUCUCUCCUCUCGUCUUCUCAAUCAACCUUUCUCUGCUCUUCUCCAUCGGUCUCGCUACUCUUGUCUUUUCCACAGCGUUGAAGGAUGUACUAUAGCAUUGAAGAGGCCACCUUCCACCACACCACUCUCUGCUCUCGUCUUAUCAAUCAACCUCUCUCUGCUCUCGUCUCCUCCAUCCGUCUCUCUACUCUUGUCUUCUCUACAUCGUUGAAGCAUGUGCUAUAGCAUUGAAGAUGACACCUUCCUCCAUAUCCACUGAUCUACUCUCGUCUUCUCCAUCCGUCUCUCUAGUUUUGUCUUCUCCACAGCGCUGAAAGCAUGUACUAUAGCAUUGAAGAUGACACCUUACUCCACAGCCACUGAUCUAUUCUCGUCUUCUUCACCAGCCUCUCUUUGCUCUCGUCUUCUCCACAACGUUGAAGGAUGUACUAUAACAUUGAAUAGGACACCUUCCACCACAACCACUCUCUCUCGUGUUCUCCAUCAGCAUCUCUUUGUUAUCGUGUUUGUUCUCCAUCAGCUUGUCUCCGUUCUUGUCUUCUCCAUGGCAUGUAAGGAUGUCUAUAGUAUUGAAGAGGACACUUUCCACCUCAGACACUCUCUACUCAUGUCUUCUCAAUCAGCCUCUCUCUGCUCGUCUUCUCCACAACCUCUCUUCCCCAAACCUUACUCAAAAUAGUAAUUAUGUCCUACCAAUUUGCAAACAUGACCUUGAAAUGAAAGGUAAAAAAGCACUUUAGUCCUGCUGCGACAGAUGACCUCACCAAAGCUAUGGUUGCCACCAUCUUCGUCAUGUUCCUGUCCCUCUUCGGACCAAGGAGAGGGGGCUUCGCCAUGGAGGUUGAAAAGGUGCUCGACGAAACAAAUUCAUUAUUUGGUUUCUUGUUUCGACGACAAAGGUUGAUGUAGUGGAAGUAGAUUGGCCAAAGAGCUCCAUCACGGCUUGCAAAAUCCCAUGUGGAGUCGAAUUUGAGGCCCUCCACCCCGUUUCCUUCUUUUCGACACCAUAGCGAACAAGAAACAAGGGAGAGAGUAGAUGCAACAUCAGAUCCUUCGCUAAAGCGAGCUUAUUGCCCGGGGUUCUUUCGCCAGAUCCCCAAGUCCCUGCGGCUUCCCACCAUGGAAAUCGGCUGGAAGGAGGGAGAUGAGCUCCUAACGCCACCUGCGAGUGCUGGAGCAAAGCUCCUCCACGACAUAGCACUAGUCGCCUUCGAGGCAGGUCUAAACCUAAAUGCUAACCUACAUACACUAUUCAGAGGAGCAGAAUGUCGUCCUCUCUCAUCCCCACCCUAGUCAGGUGGGUCCCCAAAGGAAGGGGGGGGGGAGUAGGCGACCCUCAAAGCGGCGGAGAAGAGGUAGAGAGGGGGGAGGCAAGAAAAAUGAGGGAGAAUCAUAUACAAAUUGCUGAAAUUACUAAAGGGGCCCCACACGAGCAUCCAUGUUCUUACUCCUCUUUGUUUUCGGCUAGAAUUGAUAGAACUUGGAGCAUAUUCAUUUGAAGUUAUACAUUGGAGGUUUUCCAUCUUUGUACAAACCCCGCGUACGGUUCGAAUCCCGUCCCCCCAUACUUACUGCAGUGACGCGUUUGACACAUCUUGUUUUAGCGUUGUCCCGCCUAAUUUUUUUACACUAUACACCUCUCCCUUCCUUUUGUUUUCAUCCCCGUCCUGACAGGUUGGUGAAUGACGUGUUGUCGCACGAGGCGUAAGAGAGCGUCCCGACAAGUUUAAUGAUCAUCAAUGCAUUUUACAGGAAGCGAAAUUACCUUGUCUUGGUAGUCUAAUUAGUAUUUGUCGAAAAAAGUAGUCAUAAAACUGGGAAAAAAGGAAGACCAUCGAAGGAGCGGCGUUUCGGCUCCGAGGAGCAUAUGUUUUUUGGCGCGAAGAAAGAACUCAAAACAAACAGAAAAAGCGGCGUUUCGGCUCCCAGGAGCAUAUGUUUUUUUGGCGCGAAGAAAGAACUCAAAACAAGCAGAAAAGAAAUUUAGAAACUUUUGAUUUCUAUUUUUACAUGUUCACGGUAGCAUCAGAUGUGAUUUUUGACAAUUUUCAUGCGAAAGGGAACAUCUGUGCUUUGGUAGGGGAAAAUAAGAUGAAGUUCAGUGAAAAGUAAAAAUCUACAGGUGACAUCUAGAGUAGAGCAUAAUUAAAUAUCCGGAAAAAGGAAGGCCAGCAUGUUGCUCAUCUUGGUCUUCAGCUUGACCAGAUGAAGUUUAUGCACCUGUCCCAGUUCACAGCAGAGUAAAUUCAAAUAGCAAACCACAAAAAAUUCAAAAUAACAACGAUAACGCGAGACCAGAUUAAGAAACAUGAUAGCACGGUAUGGAUGGAUACAGCAAUAACAGAGUCAUCAUCUUAACAACAACAUCUUAACAGCAACAACAAAUCCAUACGAGUAUGUUACUACCACCUUGAGCAGCAGCUUAGCUUAGCUAGCUAAAACACUACAGGUUCCAGAUAUAAAGGACAGACCCAGUGCAUAGAAGCUCCCACACAAGGUGGGGUCUGGGGAGGGAUUAUAGGAACCUAGUCUUACCCCUGCAAAGUGCAAUGCAGAGAGGCUGGUUCGAACCCAGGACCUCUUGGCACAAGUGGGGAGGACUUCACCACUGCGCCAGGCCUGCCCUCUACAGGUUCCAGAUAUAGAGAACUCAAAAUGGCAACAAACAUAUAACAUCAUCACCGACGCCGACAAACCACCGCCUCGGUCACGCGGCGUUUCAGUCCCCAAAACCGAAACGCGUCGCAUGGCUUCAUCUGCAAGUAUGUACAGUAACAAACAACCAGGGAAGGAAACCCUUGUGCAUUUUUCCACUGUCCAUCUUCCAUCUCCAAGCAGGAGCACACAUCAUCAGAGUCAGAGGCCUGCUUGCUCUGUUCACCGUUUUGUAGCUGGAGCAUCA